rfam:Gossypium raimondii Chr01_contig_725, whole genome shotgun sequence.
AAUUAAAAAUUUCGUCCAUUUAUACCGUUAAAAAUUGGUGUGAUUGAUAGAAUAACUAGUAACUCAUGUUGGUGUAUAGCAAUAAACUUUUAACAGGAAAAAUGGAUGAAAUUUGUAACA